GUUUUUUUUCGUUGGAAGAACAAUUGAAAAGAAACGCGCUAGGCAAUGCUGAUGAGUCUCAACAAAGACGAAACAUUUUUUUUAUUAUUCCAAUGGGCAUCUACAUUGUCAGAUUUCUAACCUCAUCGUUAGUUGUGAGGUUAUCCGAUACGAUGUCUACGAUAAGAACAAAUGCCGAUAAAUUACAAGAUACUCGUCGAUCGUGCGAAGAAGGUGCUUCGAAAAUUCGUUUCAAGCAGAAAGAACUACAUUUUACAUAUAACAGGUAGACAACAAAUCAUCAUCGACAACUGAAUUAUAAAGAAUAGCGCCAAUCAGUUAUCGGAAACGAAAUCCUUGACGAUUUCACUCAAAGGAUGAUCAUUGAAACUUUACCAAGAAUCAUCAUCAUUUAAUCAGAAGAAAAUCAUUUGCGGAGUAUAUCACUUCAAUAAAUAGAUUUAAAUAUAAAAAAUAAAGGAAACCCUCACUAUGCAACGAGUCAUCUUGAAGACUACAAUCAAACAUCUGACGGAAACCAAUUAUUGCCUGUUGGACAUCAAGAAUAUUCAUCAACCAUUGAAAUAAAGAUAACAACUGUACGACACGAAUCAAGGAAACAAUUCAAACAACCUACAAGUAUGGAAGGAGACAUAAC